CGUUAGUUCAGGGGGAGAACGCUUCGCUGGCAGCGAAGAGGUCAGGGGUUCAAAUCCCCUACGCUCCAUUGU
rnacentral:tRNA from 1 species